CCAGGGCCCGCGAUGGGAAGUGGCGCCGUCGGAAGGGGGCGUUCCACGCGAUGUCUGCAGGGACAGGCUCGGGGGACCUGAACUAAAACAAAGAUCCAAAACCUGUGCUCUUUUUACGUGACUACUCCCAGAGAAAUGUGAAAAAGGAAAAAAGAAAAAGUCUAUUUAUCUGAGAAAGGGGUGAUCAAAGAAAUGAAUGCACCCAAGUUAGCCUGGUAAACUUGGGGUUAUUUGCAGAAACACAGUCAACUCAAAGGCAGAUGAUGUAUCACUGAAAGGCCCACCCCACCAUUGUGAUGACUCAUGAAUCCACUGGAGCUUACUGUCCAACUUGCAGGCAACUACAAGGAGCCUUUUCCUCCCUAGCAAUUGCCGACUGCUUAUAUUAUCAUGUGGAGCUUAUAUUAUCAUGUGGAGGGGCCUUGUAAGUCUUGUGCAUUUUCUGAGACUCCUAAGUUUCAUGAACAUCCUGCAUCUUACAGGAGGACUAUUUCAAUACAGAGGAAAUUGCUACUCAGCAGCUUCUAUUUCAUGACAUUGUGCUGAGCCAGAAAGAGAUUGUCAGCCAGGGACUCCAUUUCUAAAGAGUACAGAUGUGGCUAGAAAAGGGAACUGAAAACUCACUUCCUAAGUGAGCUAGCAGGGACUUUUGAUGGUAAUAAGCAAUAUGAAUCCACUUUACAUCUCA